AACCUGAGGAGCAGCCGACACAACCAGACCCCGUCGACACGAAGGAGAAGAACCUGGAUGAUCACAAGGGAAAAGGACUAGAAAACCCAGCUUUUGACAUGUCUGAUGAGAAACCAGACGAGUCGGAAGGAAGUCCAUCGGUAUCACAUGACGUCAGCGAGUCUAAGGACCAGCUGGUGACUCAGGAGGGUUCUCAGGAG